UACAGAGGUCUCAAGCGUUAUUCGGAUUCAUUGGGCGUAAAGGGUGCGUAGGCGGCGCGGUAAGUCGGGUGUGAAAUCUUGGAGCUUAACUCCGAAACUGCAUUCGAUACUGCCGUGCUUGAGGACUGGAGAGGAGACUGGAAUUUACGGUGUAGCGGUGAAAUGCGUAGAUAUCGUAAGGAAGACCAGUGGCGAAGGCGGGUCUCUGGACAGUUCCUGACGCUGAGGCACGAAGGCCAGGGGAGCAAACGGG
rnacentral:rRNA from 1 species